CGGAGGGGGUUAGCGUUGUUCGGAAUGACUGGGCGUAAAGCGCGCGUAGGCGGAUCAGGAAGUCGGGGGUGAAAUCCCGGGGCUCAACCCCGGAAUGGCCUUCGAGACUCCUGGUCUGGAGUUCGAGAGAGGUGGGUGGAAUUCCGAGUGUAGAGGUGAAAUUCGUAGAUAUUCGGAGGAACACCAGUGGCGAAGGCGGCCCACUGGCUCGACACUGACGCUGAGGCGCGAAAGCGCGGGGAGCAAACAGGAUU
rnacentral:rRNA from 1 species